AUACUAUGAUAUGCCGAAUGUGAGCUUAUGCUACUCUCAAAGAUUAUUGGCAUGAGUGUUAUCCACCCUCCUCCGUGUCUACAUUGUCAUCGCCACUCAGUUUAAUGUUGUUUCUCAUGUAGUCGUUGCUCAUGCUACCAUUUGGAUUCGUGUGUCUCACUGCCACACAUUGUACUUGUGCCACCACUGUUACGUGUUCUACUCAUGUCAUUGGUUGUUCUUACGUCCUACUGUUGCCACCAUUAGUUCGUGCUCCACUACGUGUAAACAUGAAGCUACGCACCCCGUGAAAACUCCACUACAUAUUGUGAAGCUACGCCACAUCAUGUUGCACGCUUUGUAACUUGCGAGGCUUCACCACACCACGCAAUCUCUACAUCCUGCGAAGCUCCUCCCACCAUGCCACAUACUGUUUGAAGCUCCUCCUCACCAUGCCACACAAUGUGUGAAGCUUCUCCUCACCACAUUGUCAUUGUCCCUUCAUUGGUAGUCUUUUGCAGCGUUGAAGCUCCGUAGGCGACUAACAUAAAACUUGAUGCAUUCUUAAUGAACAAUUCACGAGAAACUGAUACAACUUCUACCAACAAACCCUAAAUUUUUAACAAUGGUUAUA
rnacentral:sRNA from 1 species